GCGGAUGUGGCGUAAUUGGUAGCCGCGCUAGACUUAGGAUCUAGUCCCGUGAGGGGUGAGAGUUCGAGUCUCUCCAUCCGCA
rnacentral:tRNA from 1 species